GGGCUGGGGCUCAGUGGCAGAGCGCUUGCCUGGCAUGUGUAAGGCACUGGGUUUGAUUCUCAGCACCCCA
rnacentral:tRNA from 1 species